UACAGAGGGUGCGAGCGUUAAUCGGAAUUACUGGGCGUAAAGCGCACGUAGGCGGCUUGGUAUGUCGGUGGUGAAAUCCCCGGGCUCAACCUGGGAACUGCAUUCGAAACUGCCUUGCUCGAGUAUGGGAGAGGGAAGUGGAAUUUCCGGUGUAGCGGUGAAAUGCGUAGAUAUCGGAAGGAACAUCAGUGGCGAAGGCGACUUCCUGGACCAAUACUGACGCUCAGGUGCGAAAGCGUGGGGAGCAAACAGG
rnacentral:rRNA from 1 species